rnacentral:rRNA from 1 species
AUGAACGCUGGCGGCGUGCCUAAUACAUGCAAGUCGAGCGAACAGAUGAGGAGCUUGCUCCUCUGACGUUAGCGGCGGACGGGUGAGUAACACGUGGAUAACCUACCUAUAAGACUGGGAUAACUUCGGGAAACCGGAGCUAAUACCGGAUAAUAUAUUGAACCGCAUGGUUCAAUAGUGAAAGACGGUUUUGCUGUCACUUAUAGAUGGAUCCGCGCCGCAUUAGCUAGUUGGUAAGGUAACGGCUUACCAAGGCGACGAUGCGUAGCCGACCUGAGAGGGUGAUCGGCCACACUGGAUCUGAGACACGGUCCAGACUCCUACGGGAGGCAGCAGUAGGGAAUCUUCCGCAAUGGGCGAAAGCCUGACGGAGCAACGCCGCGUGAGUGAUGAAGGUCUUCGGAUCGUAAAACUCUGUUAUUAGGGAAGAACAAAUGUGUAAGUAACUAUGCACGUCUUGACGGUACCUAAUCAGAAAGCCACGGCUAACUACGUG